UACGUAGGGGGCAAGCGUUAUCCGGAUUUACUGGGUGUAAAGGGAGCGCAGACGGCGAGGCAAGUCUGAAGUGAAAGGCCGGGGCCCAACCCCGGGACUGCUUUGGAAACUGUCUGGCUUGAGUGUCGGAGGGGUAAGCGGAAUUCCUAGUGUAGCGGUGAAAUGCGUAGAUAUUAGGAGGAACACCGGCGGCGAAGGCGGCUUACUGGACGAUAACUGACGUUGAGGCCCGAAAGCGUGGGGAGCAAAC
rnacentral:rRNA from 1 species